ensembl:lncRNA
CACUCCUUUAUCUUUGGACUUUUUUUCCUAUUUCGAAUUAUCAAUUAUUCAUUUUAAUCAUUUUAACUCUUGUUUACACUAUCAGUUUCUCACACUAGAGAAACUAUUUGGUAUUUAACACGUGUGUCCUAUUUAUUUCACUUAAGAGUAUGGCCUUGAUAUGCAUCCAUUUAGCUAUAAAUGACUCUAGUUUUUCAUUCUUUUUGGCUGAGUAGUACUCCAUUUUAUUAAAAAACCCACAUUUUCUUUAUCCAGUUUCCAGUUGAUGUAGCCCAUACUUAUUAAUUUCAUAAAUUAUUAAAAUACUUAGCAAUUUGCAACUUAUUAAUCCAAUAGUUUGUAGAUUUUUUUUGGUUUUCCUAUAUAUACAAUUCUAUAAUCUAAAAUAAUGAGUUUUAAUUUUUUUCCAGAUUUUAUACCUUUAUUUCCUUAUUGCCUUAGUGCCCUUAUUAGAACUUCUAGUACAGUGAUUUCUUUUUUGUUGUUGUUGUUGUUACCGGGGAUCAAACUCAGGACCUUGUGCUUGCAAGGCAGGCUUGGCAGAACCACUGAGCUAAAUCCUCGGCCUUGAACUUCUAGUACAAUGCAGAUGUGAUGAUAGCGUGAUAAAGGAAACCCUUGCCUUCUUCCUGAUCUCAGAGAAAAAAAAUUUUUUUUGAGACAGGGUCUUGCUAUGUAGUUCAGGGUGGCCUUGAACUCACUAUGUAGUCCACGCCAGCCUCAAACACACAGCAAUCCUCCUGCCUCAGCCUCCUGAGUGCUGGAAUUCCAGGCAUGUACCACCACUCCCAGCUCAAAAUGUAACCCUGAAGUGUUUUAGAUGCCCUCUAUGAGAAUAAUGAAGUUCACUGUUAUUCCUAGUUUGAUGAGAGUAUUGAUUUUCAUCAAAAUGUUCUUUCUUGGGCCGGGGAUUUAGCUCAGUGGUUCCGGCACCUGCCUCAAAAACGCAAGGUCCCGGGUUUGAUCCCCGGUACUCAAAAAAAACAACACACACAAAAUGUUCUUUCUUUUUUUUUGGUCCCGGGUUUGAUCGCCAGUACCAAACAAACAAAAAUCAUAUGAAUUUUCCUGUUAUUUUAUUUAUGUGUUAAAUUUCAUUGGUUUUCAAAUAUUAAACCACCUUACAUUUCUGGAAGGCAUUGCUCAUUAAAUACUAUCCUUUUAUAUUGCUUACUCACUUGAUAGUAUUUUGUUUAUGAUUUCUAUCUACAGUCAUGAGAAAUAUUAAUAUGUAUUUUUCCUAUACUUUCUUGACAGUUUUUUGUAAAAUAUACAUAAUUUAACCAUUCUUCAGUGUACAGGUCAGUGGCACAAAGUACAUUCACACUGUUGUGUAGUCAUAGGCACCAUUUAUAUCUCCUCAGGACAGAUUUUUGUUCCAAGUUUAGGCUGUUUUUCUAAAACAAGCUAGGAACCAUGCUUUCUAUUUCUUUCUUUUUUUUUUUUUCUGGUACCAGGGAUCCAACUCAGGAUCUUGUGCUUUCGAGCCAGGCAUAGUGCCACUGAGCUAAAUCCCCACCCCCAUGCUUUCUGUUUCUGCUUUUUUGGAAUAAUUUGUAGAAGAAUGGUAUUGUGGCCUGGCAUGGUGGCAUAUGCUUAUAAUCCCAGCACUCUGGGAGGCUGAGGCAGGAGGAUGCCAGGUUUGAGCCCAGCCUGAGUAACUGAUGACUUAGACCUUGUCCCAAAAAG